rnacentral:lncRNA from 1 species
AGCCGAUCUAUUGAAUAGAUUUUUAUAAAUUAGGCUACAAGCAUGCAACUAUCAAGAACAUGGUAAAACAAUUCUGCGUGCUAGAAAGAUUAUGAUGGUGAUCUUUUAGUAGUCGGUUAACUUGCCACAUGUCAUCUAGCCUUUUUGGUUUUUUUUCGAAGUCUGGAGCGAUGUGUUUGGCAAGUCAAUUAAGUUAUUAAGACCGUGGUUUAUGUUGUGUUAGGUAUGGAGCAGAAAGUUAUUGUUUAGAGGAUGGUCGGUUAGUGAGUGUUUUCAUUAUUUGUUAUGAGUUUAUUGGCUAACUAAUCUAGCUAGCAUCCUUCUAUCGUUUUAAUUAUCCUUGUUAUGAUUCUAAAUUGCAUAAAGUUAGGUUUACCAUGCAUUGAAAUGUUACAACCAGCAAGUUUAUGUCAUAAAAACCUAUUGUACCUUGGUUUUGCUGCAUUUAUAAACUUGUUUAAUGUAAGUAUAAAUAUCAAUUAUGCAACGCUAAGUUGAAACUAGAACCAACCACAUGCAAAUACGCAUUUUGCAUUAUUUUAUCAUAUGAAUUUAAAAUACUGGGCAUGCUUAAUUAGCUAUUAUAAUAGAAAAAAUCAACUGAGUAGGCCUGCUGUCAAAGGAGAUGGUCAUCUUUCACUAGGACAACCAACCUGAGGGUUGGUGUUAGUCGAGAUGGUUUCCCACAAUUUCCUAGGUUACUACAGAGUUCUAAAUUGUGGUCUUGCUGCCUUGAAUUGAAUUCGUACAGCCUGCAAUAUUUUACAAUAAUAUACGAAUACAUCCAAGAAAAUCAAAAAAUACAAGCUCACAAAGUGCCGGUGGCAUAAAUACCUGACCUGCAACCCUCUUUAACCUUGCAAAUUUGGUUUUAUUGUUUUUUCAUGAGCAUGCCACCCAAACAUUGUUGUAGUGUUGAUAAAUUUCUUCAAAUAUGUGGCAAUAAGAUCAUUUGAAAAUCCCUCCUCCUCUUCCAGCCAUCCUGUAAUUUCUUCUUCUUCUUCUUGCCCUACAUUUUGACCAUGAAUGAAGUAUUUAAUCACACUUGCUCUAGAAAGCUUAUCAAUAAUGGGCUAGCCAAGACUUAGCACAUUGACAAUCCU